GGGCGUUAAGUUGCAGGGUAUAGACCCGAAACCCGGUGAUCUAGCCAUGGGCAGGUUGAAGGUUGGGUAACACUAACUGGAGGACCGAACCGACUAAUGUUGAAAAAUUAGCGGAUGACCUGUGGCUGGGGGUGAAAGGCCAAUCAAACCGGGAGAUAGCUGGUUCUCCCCGAAAGCUAUUUAGGUAGCGCCUCGUGAACUCAUCUCCGGGGGUAGAGCACUGUUUCGGCUAGGGGGCCAUCCCGGCUUACCAACCCGAUGCAAACUGCGAAUACCGGAGAAUGUUAUCACGGGAGACACACGGCGGGUGCUAACGUCCGUCGUGAAGAGGGAAACAACCCAGACCGCCAGCUAAGGUCCCAAAGUCAUGGUUAAGUGGGAAACGAUGUGGGAAGGCCCAGACAGCCAGGAUGUUGGCUUAGAAGCAGCCAUCAUUUAAAGAAAGCGUAAUAGCUCACUGGUCGAGUCGGCCUGCGCGGAAGAUGUAACGGGGCUAAACCAUGCACCGAAGCUGCGGCAGCGACACUAUGUGUUGUUGGGUAGGGGAGCGUUCUGUAAGCCUGCGAAGGUGUGCUGUGAGGCAUGCUGGAGGUAUCAGAAGUGCGAAUGCUGACAUAAGUAACGAUAAAGCGGGUGAAAAGCCCGCUCGCCGGAAGACCAAGGGUUCCUGUCCAACGUUAAUCGGGGCAGGGUGAGUCGACCCCUAAGGCGAGGCCGAAAGGCGUAGUCGAUGGGAAACAGGUUAAUAUUCCUGUACUUGGUGUUACUGCGAAGGGGGGACGGAGAAGGCUAUGUCGGCCGGGCGACGGUUGUCCCGGUUUAAGCGUGUAGGCUGACUUUCCAGGCAAAUCCGGA
rnacentral:rRNA from 1 species